GAGUUUGAUCCUGGCUCAGGAUGAACGCUGGCGGCGUGCUUAACACAUGCAAGUCGAACGAAGCGGGAAGGAAGAAGUUUUUCGAAAUGGAUUUUUUCUUUGCUUAGUGGCGGACGGGUGCGUAACACGUAGGUAACCUGCCCUGUGCUUGGGAAUAACUCCGGGAAACCGGUGCUAAUGCCGAAUAAUGUCGCCUGUCGGCAUCGAGAGGCGAUCAAAGAAUUUCGGCACAGGAUGGGCCUGCGCCGGAUUAGCUGGUUGGUGAGGUAACGGCUCACCAAGGCGACGAUCCGUAGCCGACCUGAGAGGGUGAUCGGCCACACUGGAACUGAGACACGGUCCAGACUCCUACGGGAGGCAGCAGUGGGGAAUAUUGCACAAUGGGGGAAACCCUGAUGCAGCAACGCCGCGUGAGCGAUGAAGGCUUUCGAGUCGUAAAGCUCUGUCCUAUGGGAAGAUGAUGACGUACCAUAGGAGGAGCCCC
rnacentral:rRNA from 1 species